rnacentral:rRNA from 1 species
GAUCCUGGCUCAGGACGAACGCUCGCGGCGCGCCUAACACAUGCAAGUCGAACGAGCGAGAGAGAGCUUGCUUUCUCAAGCGAGUGGCGAACGGGUGAGUAACGCGUGAGGAACCUGCCUCAAAGAGGGGGACAACAGUUGGAAACGACUGCUAAUACCGCAUAAGCCCACGACCCGGCAUCGGGUAGAGGGAAAAGGAGCAAUCCGCUUUGAGAUGGCCUCGCGUCCGAUUAGCUAGUUGGUG